rnacentral:rRNA from 1 species
GUAGUUAGCCGGAGCUUCCUCCUUGGGUACCGUCACUUUCUUCGUCCCCAAGGACAGAGGUUUACAAUCCGAAGACCUUCUUCCCUCACGCGGCGUUGCUGGGUCAGGGUUGUCCCCAUUGCCCAAUAUUCCCCACUGCUGCCUCCCGUAGGAGUCUGGACCGUGUCUCAGUUCCAGUGUGGCCGAUCACCCUCUCAGGUCGGCUACCCAUCGUCGCCUUGGUGGGCCGUUACCCUCACCAACUAGCUAAUGGGACGCGAGCCCAUCUACAAGCGAUAAAUCUUUGACCUCUCUAUCAUGCGAUAGCGUGGUCUUAUGCGGUAUUAGCAGCCGUUUCCAGCUGUUGUCCCUCUCUUGUAGGUAGGUUGCUCACGCGUUACUCACCCGUCCGCCACUAAGUCAUUCCUUAUUCCGUCCGAAAACUUCAUUAGAAAUGCUUCGUUCGACUUGCAUGUGUUAAGCACGCCGCCAGCGUUCGUCCUGAGCCAUGAUCAAACUCUGA